rnacentral:rRNA from 1 species
CCGCGGUAAUACGUAGGGUGCGAGCGUUAAUCGGAAUUACUGGGCGUAAAGCGUGCGCAGGCGGUUUGUUAAGAUAGGCGUGAAAUCCCCGGGCUCAACCUGGGAACUGCGUUUAUGACUGGCAGGCUAGAGUAUGGCAGAGGGGGGUGGAAUUCCACGUGUAGCAGUGAAAUGCGUAGAGAUGUGGAGGAACACCGAUGGCGAAGGCAGCCCCCUGGGCCAAUACUGACGCUCAUGCACGAAAGCGUGG